rnacentral:rRNA from 1 species
AGAGUUUGAUCAUGGCUCAGAUUGAACGCUGGCGGCAUGCCUUACACAUGCAAGUCGAACGGUAACAGGUCUUCGGAUGCUGACGAGUGGCGAACGGGUGAGUAAUACAUCGGAACGUGCCCGAUCGUGGGGGAUAACGAAGCGAAAGCUUUGCUAAUACCGCAUACGAUCUACGGAUGAAAGCAGGGGACCGCAAGGCCUUGCGCGAACGGAGCGGCCGAUGGCAGAUUAGGUAGUUGGUGGGAUAAAAGCUUACCAAGCCGACGAUCUGUAGCUGGUCUGAGAGGACGACCAGCCACACUGGGACUGAGACACGGCCCAGACUCCUACGGGAGGCAGCAGUGGGGAAUUUUGGACAAUGGGCGAAAGCCUGAUCCAGCCAUGCCGCGUGCAGGAUGAAGGCCUUCGGGUUGUAAACUGCUUUUGUACGGAACGAAAAGACUCUGGUUAAUACCUGGGGUCCAUGACGGUACCGUAAGAAUAAGCACCGGCUAACUACGUGCCAGCAGCCGCGGUAAUACGUAGGGUGCAAGCGUUAAUCGGAAUUACUGGGCGUAAAGCGUGCGCAGGCGG